UACGAAGGGGGCUAGCGUUGUUCGGAAUCACUGGGCGUAAAGGGCGCGUAGGCGGCUUUAUAAGUCGGGGGUGAAAGCCUGUGGCUCAACCACAGAAUUGCCUUCGAUACUGUAGAGCUUGAGACCGGAAGAGGUAAGUGGAACUGCGAGUGUAGAGGUGAAAUUCGUAGAUAUUAGCUAGAACACCAGUGGCGAAGGCGGCCAACUGGUCCGGUACUGACGCUGAGGUGCGAAAGCGUGGGGAGCAAACAGG
rnacentral:rRNA from 1 species